CUGCAGACCUACCAGCGAGACUGAACCCACACUGGUUCUGUACUUUCUUAGUGUCUGCUAGAGCGAUGUGAGGUUGUUUGAGGCUCUGCUAUGUUUACACAUAGCAGGGUUAUAGGUAAGCCUCCGACAAGC